CCUACGGGAGGCAGCAGUGAGGAAUAUUGGGCAAUGGGCGCGAGCCUGAACCAGCCAAGUAGCGUGAAGGAUGACGGCCCUACGGGUUGUAAACUCCUUGUAUAAAGGAAUAAAGAGAGGCACGUGUGCCUUUUUGUGUGUACGUUAUGAAUAAGGAACGGCUAACUCCGUGCCGGCAGCCGCGGUAAUACGGAGGAGCCGAGCGUUAUCCGGCUUGAGUGGGUUUACAGGGAGCGUAGUUGGGUUGUUAAGGCAGUUGUGAAAGGUGGCGGCUCAACCGUAAAAUUGCAAGUGAUACGGGCAGUCUUGAGUACAGUUGAGGUCGGCUGAAUUCCUAGUGUAGCGGUGAAAUGCUUAGAUAUCACG
rnacentral:rRNA from 1 species